CCCGACAGCCUCUGCACGCGCGAACAGCCUUGACCAGCCUCUGCACGCGCGACCAGCCUUGACCAGCCUCUGCACGUGCGAACAGCCUUGACCAGCCACUGCACGCGCGGACAGCCUUGACCAGCCUCUGCACGCGCGGACAGCCUUGACCAGCCUCUGCACGCGCGACCAGCAAUGACCAGCCUCUGCACGCGCGACCAGCCUUGACCAGCCUCUGCACGCGCGACCAGCAUUGACCAGCCUCUGCACGCGCGACCAGCCUUGACCAGCCUCUGCACGCGCGACCAGCCUUGACCAGCCUCUGCACGCGCGACCAGCCUUGACCAGCCUCUGCACGCGCGACCAGCCUUGAGCAGCCUCUGCAUGCGCGAUCGGCACGGGCUACCAUCAAUUUUACACCAUCAAGCCACGCACCACUGACACUCACGCCUCGAUCUUUUUUCUCGCAGGCUUGAACACAAGUGAGGUUUUUACUACUACGAAACCAUUAAUUAUAAGAAGUUACAGUGAACAUCAAAGUUUCAGUGACAACAAACUUCUUUGAAAUGCGCCUCGUUUAACGUCUCCACGCAGAUUCCGUCCGUUCGGUUGCCAUGCCAACCAUGCGCGCUCUCCUCCCGAGGUGAGACAAGAUGAGGCAGGAACAGGGCAGCGAUGAGACAGACACUAAGGCGACAUGAGGACUGUAAACAAUGAUGCACCGCAGUAAGCGGUUGUGGUACCUCACCCGCGACCAAACACUGACACCACUUCAAAUUUCGAAAAAACCAUACUCGACCACCAAUGUAGUACAACAACACAAUCAACACACUGCUAUUUGUAGUGGGAAAAAUUAAAUAACGUAAGUCGACAGGCGAUAACACACAGAAAGUGAAUAACUUUGGGAGAGGGAAGUUGGCCUGCAAUGACAUGCCUGUUGUGGCGUUGGCGUCAUCACGCACACCUCCCAGCAAUAGAAAUUCCUGUCAGCAACCGUAACCACGCAGACUCAGCUCCUAUCACAUUUACUAACUCCUCCGCGGCUAGCACAAGCAUAGGUACAUGUAUUGGUAUUUGGAGCGACUCAAAUGUACGGAUAUGUGAUUCGCAAAGGUCCAUAGCAGGCACGUAGGCUCGCAAUUACAGACGUCUAUAUACUGGUAUUUCUGAGUAGAACUAACAAGAACAGCCUUAUGGAUACAGGCUUGUAGGUACUGGGAUUUGUGGGAACAGAUAUGUAGGAGAUAGCAUUUGUUAAUGCAGCCUUCUAGGUACUGGGAUUCGUGGGAACAGACAUGUAGGGGAUAGCAUUUGUUAAUGCAGACUUCUAGGUACUGGGAUUCGUGGGAACAGACAUGUAGGGGAUAGCAUUUGUUAAUGCAGACUUCUAGGUACUGGGAUUCGUGGGAACAGACAUGUAGGGGAUAGCAUUUGUUAAUGCAGACUUCUAGGUACUGGGAUUCGUGGGAACAGACAUGUAGGGGAUAGCAUUUGUUAAUGCAGACUUCUAGGUAUUGGGAUUCGUGGGAACAGACAUGUAGGGGAUAGCAUUUGUUAAUGCAGACUUCUAGGUAUUGGGAUUUGUGGGAACAGACAUGUAGGGGAUAGCAUUUGUGUGUACAGACUUGUAGGUACUGGCAUUUGUGGGUAAAGACAUUCAGGUAAAACAAGUCUCUCUGGUCUAACUACCAAGCGGUGCCAGUAUCAACUAGUAUACAGUGCACACUACACCGAGGAGAUGAAGAGCCAUACAGUUGCACCGUACCAACAGAAACUUCGCGACCGAGAGGCAAGGGAGACUACUUUCGGCGUGCGAAGCUGCAACUGCAUAGGGCGCUGCGUCGACUUGCCCUGGUGGACCGCUGACAGGGCAUGAACACAUAGCAGAGGCUGUAACCGCUUGCCCAUCCCCACGUUCGUUGCUGCACGUCUGUAGCGGCGGUCGGCCGUGGGGUCGGGAGAGCGCCGAGUUCUUGGCAUAUAGGUCGGGAGCAGUCGUAGCACCAGUAACAACCAGGGCAGAUAAAACGUGCUGGGGCAUGCCAGCUGCUGCCAGCCGAUCCGCAGUGUAACGCUCACUCUGUCGAAGUCGACGACGUGCAGCAUUGGAAAUGGAAUAAAACUUGUUACUAAGGGAACAUGCACAAAAUGUCAUUUCACAGUUAGGCUGGAAUGGUUGGCAACCGGUUGCAAUGGAUGCAGCAUUACUCACAGCAACACUUGCGAUUCAUAUCUCACUGCCGAAUAAAUAACACUACUGAUAUCUGACUGCAGCACAGAUAUCGUGAGUGAUAUCCGAGAGCAGGGCAGAUAUCUUGAGUGAUACAUUCGAGCAAGAGAUAUCAAAUUUCACAUAAAACCGAUAGCACUCUAUCCACACACAUUUCUACACACGAAUAACCGUGGAGCAUUGUUACACAGCAUUAAAAUAUAUAAACAUACAAUGUGAGAAGCUACAUGUAUGCACUAGAUUUCCAAUAGAGCUACAAGAAGCGACGCAUGUUGGAAAUAAGUAAUUACACAGCCACGCCAAUUAUUAUUAAAGUCAGAUUUGUACAAUCUUGACAAGUUUUAUAUUAUGAUCACCAAUGACUUUCACCUAACCAUAGCAGCUGUUUCUCUCGAGGGGGAUACAGGGACAAAACAAACAGAUGAGACAGCGGCAUCAGGUUCAGUGUAAACUUGAAGUUACCAUCUUUCAGUUACUCACGCCCCAGCCUCCUCGACAAAGUAGGAAUUAUCCUUUUCAAGGCCAGUGUGAAUGAUGGGAGCAAUCGUUCAAGAAGACUCGACUAGAAUUGGACCUACACAGCAACUAACUUCUGCCAAUAUUGCUCCACAGUCGAGUAGGAAAAGCAGGGAGCGCUUCGGUGGGAUUCAACGAUGGAUCGAGUGUGCACGCACGCUUCCUGCUGUUAUCACGUCGCCACGACGACCGACUGUCAUCAGAUAUGAAAGACAGUGUGCUCGUUUACAUCGAGGCACAUGUGAGCGAAUCGUAAGCGAGUACAGAGAAAUUCCAACACAUUUCACAUGUCGAGAGGUGGAAUGGAUUAAAAGGCAAUGGAUUUAAAUGGAAGCGGUCACAGAAAACUCACGUUAAUGCGACUAAUUUUACACGGACCAAGCCAUGAAUACGACUGGGACGAGGACACGUAAUUUUA